rnacentral:rRNA from 1 species
UACGUAGGGUGCGAGCGUUGUCCGGAAUUAUUGGGCGUAAAGAGCUCGUAGGCGGUGUGUCGCGUCGGCCGUGAAAACCUGGGGCUUAACUCUGGGCGUGCGGUCGAUACGGGCAUCACUGGAGUUCGGCAGGGGAGACUGAAAUUCCUGGUGUAGCGGUGAAAUGCGCAGAUAUCGAGAGGAACACCUGCGGCGAAGGCGGGUAGCUGGGCCGACACUGACGCUGAGGCGCGAAAGCCAGGGGAGCGAACGGG